UUAUCUACUACUAAACUGGGUCAGUCAUCAGAGGAUCAAAGCAGGGGACCUGACCAGGUCACGGUGGUGAUAAGGCCCCUGCAUGGUGACAUGAAGCGACACAAAUGACACAGGUGCUGUGAUGGAGUGGUAGGCCACCACUAAUCUCCUGACCACACAGCAGAAGGAGCAUCAUUUGCUCCUGGCCGAAGCUGACCCCGGAUCACUUGCUUUGGAGGAAGCCAGCUGUCAGGGUGUGAGGACACUCAAGCAGUUUAUGAAGAGGUCCACGUGGCAAGGAACUGAAGCCUUUUGCCAACAACCAAGGUGGAAGUGAAGGAGCCGUGUGAGGGGGCCAGGAUGGAAGGAGGCCCUCCAGCCGCAGUCAAGCCUUCAGAUGGCUGCAACCCUGGCCAUCGGCCUGACUACAAGUCCAGGAGAGACCCUGAGCCAGAACCCCAGCCAGGCUCCUCCCAGGUCCCUGGCCAUCUGAAAGGUCCCUCCAUGCUGAAGGCCAUCUCCCCUCACCACCCAAGGAAAAGUGACCUCGGGAAUUCUGGCAGAUCCCACACAGACAGGACGAUGGAAAAAGGAGCCGUGGUGAGAGGCUGGGGUCCCCUGGGAGAGUAUGAAGCACGUGGUGGGUCUCUCCCCAGAAAAAUAUACACAAACGCAUGAUUUUGCAUGAAAGUUUAAGGGGGUUAAACUGAUUCACGGAUACUCUGGUGUGAUGACCGGGGCCUUAGAUGGCAUCAAAAGGCCUUAAAUCAUGGCUCUUCCUGGGCAUGUCUGAAAUGCAUUUCUCCCAACUGUACAAUAGAGACAAGAGCCUCUCCCUCCCUAGGCUUUUUGUUCAUGACUCUGCGCUGGUGGGAGCAGGGUGCUCAGAGAGGGGGUGCCCACUAGGGUGGGGUGGGGAGCAGGUGAGACGCAGUUAUGUUUAAUACAACCAACAAUAUCAGUCACGUUUAGAUGUGAAGUGACGGGAGGUGAGAGUGGACAGGGAGGGACUGGAAGGAAAAGUAAAAGCCGUCAGUCUAAGAAAGAAGAGGAGAACAGCAAGUGUUGACAAAAAUGUGGAAAAGCCCCGUAUGCUGCUGGUGGGAAUAUAAGACAUUCAGCCUCUGUGCUAAAUAGUUUGGCGAAAUAGUUCCACAAAAACUUAAGACAUGGAAUUACCAUGUGUGAUAUUGUGACUCAUACAAGCUAUAUUUGGUCUUUGUCCCCAGUCCUAGUAUAGAACUCCUCAAAUCCUUGGAAUUUCCUAAGAGAGGACAGAAGACAAAGUUGCGUUUUGUUAUGUUAAUGAGGCGACUGUUGAAAAACCACCUAGGGAAUCUACGGGAGGGAGCCGGUUCAAUCACGUGAUUGGAGGGUUAGAACUUUCAGUCGCAACUCUCGACUCCAGGGAGAGGAGAGGGGCUAGAGAUUCAAUCAUUGGCCAAUAAUGAUUUGCUCAAUCAUGCCCGUGUAAUGAAGCCACCAAAAGCAAAAGCAAAAGCAAAAACAAAAACAAAAACCAAAACCAAAGGAGGGGCUUUGGAGAGCUUCCGGGUUGGUGAGCACAGGAGAUUCUGGAGGAGCGCACUCUGGAGAGGGCAUGGAAGUUGGCACCUUUCCCCAUCCCUUGUCUGAUGCAUCUCCACCAUCUGGCUAUUCCUGAGUUCUAUCCUUCGAUAUAAACUAGUAAUCCAACGGGUACCAUGUCUUCCCGACUUCUGUGGCCUCCCUAGCAAAUUAAUAGAGCCCAGGGAGGGGGGUCGCUGGAACCCCCAACCUACAGUCGGACAUCUGAAGCACAGGUGACAGACUGGACUUUGGACUGGCGUCUGCAAUGGGGAGAGGGGUCGAUUUGCAGGACUGAGCCCUCAACCUGGGGGGGUCUGAUGCUGUUUCUAGGUCAAUGGUGUCAGCACGGAGUUGAACUGCACACACUCGAUUGGUAUCAGAAAACUGCUUGGUGGCGUUGGAAAAAAACCCACACACAUCAGAACUGGUGUCAGAACUGGACCAUGUGACUCAGCAAUUUCAUUUCCCAGGCACCUACCCGGAAGAGUUGAAAAUAGGGACUCAACAAAUACUUGCACAUGAAUGUUCAUAGCAGGAUAAUUGACAAUAGCCAAAGCGUGGAAAGAACUCAAAUGCCCAUCAGCAGAUGAAUGGAUGGACAAAGAGUGACAGACCCACAUGAUGAAAUACAUGCCACAGUGUGGACGAACCUCAAAAUUUUAUGCUGAGUGAAAGACGCUAGGCUCAAAAGGCCACAUAUGAUCCCACUCAUCUAAACCGGAAGAGAGAAAUUCACAGAAACAGAAAGCAGAUGGGUGGUUGCCAGGAAUAAGAGGGAAAUGGGGAGUCACCGCUUAGGGGACAUCGAUUUUAUUCUGGGGGGGUUGAAAAUGUUUUGGAACUACGUAGAGGGGAUAGUUACACACUAUUAUGAAAAUAUGAAAUGACACGCAAUUGAACACUUUAAAAUGGUUAAUGUGGGGGGCGCCUGGUUGGUUCAGUGGGUUGAGCAUCCGGCUCUUGGUUUUGGCUCAGGUCAGGGUCUUGUGGUUUGUGACACUGAGCCCCGCCCGUGCUGGGCUCCAUAGCACGGAGCCUGCAGGAUUCUCUCUCUCCCUCUCUCUCAGCCCCUGCCCUGCUCGAACUCACAUACGUACGCGCUCUCUCUCCAAAAUAAACUUGAGAAGAUGAGACAGCCCGGU